rnacentral:miRNA from 1 species
UGGUCGGCAUGACUCCCGAGGU